rnacentral:lncRNA from 1 species
CACAACCUAGAUCCAGCUAAGACAAAAAAUUCCUACACUCCAAAAAGAGCCGUCAUCACAAUCUAAAUUCCAAAAAUUCCUAAGCUCACCCAGCAGCAACCCCCACCCAAGAAAAUCGAUCUCCAAUUUCCUACAACCCCAAUAGAUAAACAAAGGCAGCCGCAUCUCAACGAAAAGUCCUUCCUCUUCAUCUCAAAAUAACACCAUUUUAGCUCCAAACCCAGCUGUAUAAACACCAUAAAACAGCCGCAAGACACCCCAUCUUGCCCCAGAAAACGAGCCAAGCAACCCCUGAAAACACCGUUAACAAUAGUUUUUUCUAAAUAAUACAACACCAUCCUCGAGUUCGAGUCCGUCGAGGUCGUAGCUGUAGUUCGAAGUCAAGUUGGCAUGGUCGUUGGGUAGAGUUCCGGCCAAAUGUUCUGUUUGCCUUCAAAUUUGGUAGAAACUUUCCAUUGUAAUUCAAGGUUGUAAUCCAAAGUUUAAGUUGUAAUUGGAAAGAAUUGCGAGCAGAAACAUAUUCCGUUGGAGUAGAACAAGUAAGUUGCUCUGCUUUUUUCUUUCCAGGCAAUUCAAGCUAAUAGACUAUUUUUGUAGAAUUAUUAUUUUGUUUAGAUCUUGACAGUAUUCAUUACAGUUUCUUUAUCUUCUUUUUCUCUCUGUU